CUAUAAAUAACAGAGACGAGAAAAGAAGAAGAGCAUAGAAGAUUAAGUGGUAAAGAGAGACAUGAAAGGUGUAAUACCACACUAUCAUCACUCUUACACCUUCUUUUUCGUUAUAUUGGUUCUGUUUCCCCAUGCGUUCUCAACCAAUACUUUGUCAUCUAACGAAGCUCUUACAAUCUCAAGCAACAAAACCCUUGUGUCUCCUGGUGAUGUCUUCGAGCUUGGCUUCUUCAAAACCGCCACGAAGAACUCUCAAGAUGGUAGUACUGAUCGUUGGUAUCUCGGUAUUUGGUACAAGACAACCUCUGAUAAGAGAACAUAUGUUUGGGUUGCCAACAGAGACAACCCUCUUCACAACUCCAUCGGAACUCUCAAAAUCUCUCACGCAAGCCUCGUCCUCCUUGACCAGUCUGAUACUACCGUCUGGUCAACGAACCUUACGGGAGUUGCGCAUUUACCAGUUACGGCAGAGCUUCUCGCUAACGGCAACUUCGUGCUUAGAGACUCCAAAACCAACGACCUAGACCGGUUCAUGUGGCAGAGCUUUGAUUAUCCGGUGGAUACUUUGCUCCCGGAGAUGAAAAUUGGUCGGAAACACAAAAGUUCAGAAAAAGAAAAAAUCCUCACAUCGUGGAAAAGUCCUACUGAUCCAUCAAGUGGAGAUUAUUCGCUCAUACUCGAAACCGAAGGGUUUUUACAUGAGUUUUAUCUAUUUAAGAACGAGUUCAAAGUGUACCGAACCGGUCCUUGGAACGGAGUCCGGUUUAACGGUAUACCGAAAAAAAUGCAAAACUGGAGCUACAUUGAUAACAGUUUCAUAGAUAACAACGAGGAAGUCGCGUACACAUUCAAAGUCCACAACAACAACAACAUGAUCCACUCGAGAUUUAGAAUGAGUUCCACAGGGUACUUACAAGUAAUCACAUGGACUAAGACAGUACCGCAACGUAACAUGUUUUGGUCGUUCCCGGAAGAUACAUGCGAUCUGUACAAAGUUUGUGGUCCUUACGCUUACUGUGACAUGCACACGUCGCCUACGUGUAACUGUAUCAAAGGCUUCGUUCCCAAGAAUGCGGGAAGAUGGGAUUUGAGGGAUAUGUCAGGUGGUUGUGUGAGGAGCUCGAAGCUAAGCUGUGGAGAGGGAGAUGGGUUUCUGCGGAUGAGUCAGAUGAAGCUACCGGAGACAAGUGAAGCGCUUGUGGAGAAGAGGAUCGGGUUGAAGGAAUGCAGGGAGAAGUGUGUUAGAGAUUGUAACUGUACCGGGUAUGCGAAUAUGGAUAUCAUGGAUGGUGGGUCGGGUUGUGUGACUUGGACCGGUGAGCUCGUGGAUAUGCGGAAGUACGACGCUGGAGGUCAAGAUCUUUAUGUCAAGGUAGCAGAAGCUAGUCUUGUCCCCUCGUAGACAUAUGUAUCAAAUAAUAUGCGAGAUUUAAAAAAAUAUUUGUAUCGAUUAAAAGUAUCUAAAAAUAAAUAAUACGAAACCCUUAUUAUUAUCCAUGUUUUAUAUAAAAUUAAACGUUUAUUGAUCAAUAAUUUUAUGUCAUCAUAUCACUUUUAUAUUAGAGCAAUGAAAAAUAUAUAUAUUGGGUUUUAUGUA